GAUGAAGAACGCAGCGAAAUGCGAUAAGUAAUGUGAAUUGCAGAAUUCAGUGAAUCAUCGAAUCUUUGAACGCACAUUGCGCCCGCCAGUAUUCUGGCGGGCAUGCCUGUUCGAGCGUCAUUACAACCCUCAGGCCCCCGGGCCUGGCGUUGGGGAUCGGCGGAAGCCCCCUGCGGGCACAACGCCGUCCCCCAAAUACAGUGGCGGUCCCGCCGCAGCUUCCAUUGCGUAGUAGCUAACACCUCGCAACUGGAGAGCGGCGAGGCCACGCCGUAAAACACCCAACUUCUGAAUGUUGACCUCGAAUCAGGUAGGAAUACCCGCUGAACUUAAGCAUAUCAAUAAGCGGAGGA
rnacentral:misc_RNA from 1 species